GAUGAACGCUAGCUACAGGCUUAACACAUGCAAGUCGCGGGGCAGCAUGGGGGUUGCUUGCAAUCCCGGAGGGGGACGGGCGAACGGGGGGGAAACGGGUACCAACCUGGCCUUUAACAAGGGGAAAACCGGGCGAAAGCCGAACAAUAACGGAGGGUGGCCAUUGGAGGCCGCCGGAUUGGGCGAAAAGGUUGGGGGGGAAGGGUGGGGAUGGGUUCGAUUGGCUGGACGGCGGGGGGACGGCCCACCGUGGCGGCGAUCGGUAGGGGGUCUGAGAGGAAGGUCCCCCACACUGGAACUGAGACACGGUCCAGACUCCUACGGGAGGCAGCAGUGAGGAAUAUUGGUCAAUGGGCGUAAGCCUGAACCAGCCAAGUAGCGUGCAGGAUGACGGCCCUAUGGGUUGUAAACUGCUUUUAUGCGGGGAUAAAGUGGCCCACGUGUGGGUUUUUGCAGGUACCGCAUGAAUAAGAACCGGCUAAUUCCGUG
rnacentral:rRNA from 1 species